rnacentral:rRNA from 1 species
CUGCUGCCUCCCGUAGGAGUUUGGCCCGUGUCUCAGUACCAAUGUGGGGGGUUAACCUCUCAGUCCCCCUAUGUAUCGUUGCCUUGGUGAGCCGUUACCUCACCAACUAGCUAAUACAACGCAUGCCCAUCUUUAACCACCGGAGUUUUUAACCCAAGAAGAUGCCUUCUCGAAUGUUAUGGGGAAUUAGUACCAAUUUCUCAGUGUUAUGCCCCUGUUAAAGGUAGGUUGCAUACGCGUUACGCACCCGUGCGCCGGUCGCCACCCAAAGUAUU